rnacentral:rRNA from 1 species
AACAAGGUCUCUAAUGCUGAACCAGCGGAGGGAUCAUUACUGAGUUUACGCUCUACAACCCUUUGUGAACAUACCUAUAACUGUUGCUUCGGCGGGCAGGGUCUCCGUGACCCUCCCGGCCUCCCGCCCCCGGGCGGGUCGGCGCCCGCCGGAGGAUAACCAAACUCUGAUUUAACGACGUUUCUUCUGAGUGGUACAAGCAAAUAAUCAAAACUUUUAACAACGGAUCUCUUGGUUCUGGCAUCGAUGAAGAACGCAGCGAAAUGCGAUAAGUAAUGUGAAUUGCAGAAUUCAGUGAAUCAUCGAAUCUUUGAACGCACAUUGCGCCCGCCAGCAUUCUGGCGGGCAUGCCUGUUCGAGCGUCAUUUCAACCCUCAAGCUCUGCUUGGUGUUGGGGCCCUACGGCUGACGUAGGCCCUCAAAGGUAGUGGCGGACCCUCCCGGAGCCUCCUUUGCGUAGUAACUUUACGUCUCGCACUGGGAUCCGGAGGGACUCUUGCCGUAAAACCCCCAAUUUUCCAAAGGUUGACCUCGGAUCAGGUAGGAAUACCCGCUGAACUUAAGCAUAUC